rnacentral:rRNA from 1 species
UACGUAGGGGGCAAGCGUUGUCCGGAUUUAUUGGGCGUAAAGAGCGUGUAGGCGGUCAGGUAGGUCCGUUGUGAAAACUCGAGGCUCAACCUCGAGACGCCGAUGGAAACCAUCUGACUAGAGUCCGGAAGAGGAGAGUGGAAUUCCUGGUGUAGCGGUGAAAUGCGCAGAUAUCAGGAAGAACACCGAUGGCGAAGGCAGUUCUCUGGGCCGUAACUGACGCUGAGGAGCGAAAGCGUGGGGAGCGAACAGG